GAGGGCUCGGCGCUCCGCUAAUCAAAAUCUGUAAGCCGGGAAGAGGGCGUUUCCGAGGUACCCGGAUGGGUCGUUCUCGUUGUGCCUCCGGAAACUGGAAUGCGGCUCUCGGCAGGGCCGGAGCCCCGUGGCGUCUCCCUGCGCUCGGCCGUGCUGAGGCCGCUCAGCGCGAAGAACGAUGGGGAGCAGACCGCGGAAUGCAGUUUUUUGCGAUGUGAAAAAUUGCGUUAUUUGUGUGUUUUUAUUAAAAACCUGUCUGUUGUGGUCAGCCUCUUGUAGUGUCUUUUGAGGACAGGAUAGGAUAGUGUAGGAUUGGAUAGGAUAGUUCUUUUGAAAGGUACCUACAACUAUUACCUGGUACAACUGGCUGGCCACUUCAGGGCCAAGCAAAGGGUACAGCACGUUGUUCAGAAUUGCGCCUGAGGAGCACCGCUGGCAGCCCCAGUCACUGCAUCCCGCUGGGCUCCGCGCUUCAGCCAGGCCUUCAGCAGCACUGGGUGAACCCACUGCUGGACAACACCUGCAGGAGGAUGCUGUGAAGGACAGCAACUGAAGGCUUAACCACACUUACGAAUUCUUACAUCCAUGUCCUUCCCUUCAACCACUAGGUACUGAGACUGUACCAAGAGGCCUUCCUAGAUCUUCCCUCAUGCCCUUUUUGUAAACUGAAAUAAUGUUGGGUAGAUUCCAGUCCAGGACCCCCAAAAACUCCAAGAUCUUUGGAAGCUAUCUGACAUGCAUCUCUGUACUUGUGUUACUCAGCCAUUUAUGUGAGCAUUAAAACUGUUGGAGAAG